ensembl:lncRNA
AUCUUGCUGGAGAUGCCUGUUUACCUGAGGUUUUAUGAAGUUACUCUCUGCAGUAGUUAAAGAAUUACUUUUCUGUAUCUACAACACAAUAACAUGGAGAUAUUAGAAAGGACAGACGGCAAUCUGCACAUAAUUCUUGACUGGGUAGUCUAUCUCCUAGACAUGCACCUUUUCAUCUUCAACUGAAAAUUAAAAAGGAAGAAAAAAACACUUACUGCAGCCAGUAAAUUAUCAGGACAAUACAAGAAAUUCAAGAUGACCACUCACUGCCUGGUAUCUUUUGUAUUGAGUCAACUAUCAAGUAAGAAAGGUAGAUUAGAAGUCCACAGUCUUUCUAUGAAGUAAUAGAUAGAAUUGGAACAAAAACUUUUACCUCAAGCAAGUCUAGUCUUUUUGGGAAGAAAACCACAAAAGAAACAACAUCCCUGAAAUACAUUGACAAAGCAUGCUCCUGAGAUAGCUAGUGGGAGUUCUGGUUAUGAGCUCUUUUAUGGACUACUCUGCAGGAAGUACUUUGUUUUCCCUCAGAUGUUGCGCACAUGUCACAUUAAAGUGAAUUAAGUCCUUAUGAGGUGAUGUACUGCAGCCAAGAAAAUACUUUGUGAGAGGUUUCUCAUGGAUGUAUUCAGUUCAAAACACUGUGAAAUUAGGUGAAACUUAACUUAGUUUUUAAUCUGUGUUAUUUCAGUAAACAAACAAAAAAGCCAUCAAAUUUUUCUGACCAUAAUUAUGACAGCUACAAAGAAAUAGAGUGAGGAAUGAGAGGAAUGUAAUACUAACCUGCAGUAUCUUGGGGAUAAAGUAUCCUACUGAUCUCUAAGAAGGCAACGCUAACCUCUGUAACUAAGCUGUUCCUCCCAUCCUUUCUAUGGGCCAUCACUGUCAGUGAUGUCUCUCAGUAGACCAGAGUCACCAGAUGGGCAAGCUGAGAGGAGGUUAGCAGAAUAAGUGAGCUGAAUUCUCAUUGUCUGCUACAGAUUACCAAAGAGUAAAUCUGCAGGUUUUUUGGGGAUCUAGGCCUAAUGAAACUAAUGUCUUGACGCUGAUCUAGUUGAGGUUGCUUGCCAUUUUACAGUGAAAGACUUUCUUUUUAAUCUUCCAAAUGCUUCAGCUACAGUGACUGAAAUUCUUGAAGAGCUGAACACUCUUGUCCAAAUGGAUACCAAGACAGUGAGCUGUUAAUUUUUAGCUCCUGAGAAUGGCUCCCUGAAAUGUAUCUACAUUUAUUAUGAUUAUUUUUAUAUACUUUUUAUUUUAAAUAAUACAAAUUCAUCAACUGAAGUUAUUUUUGAUUUAAGUCACAGUAUGAAGAUGGCAAUGCAGCUUAUUGCAAGAUAUAUGCAAGGGCACAUUUUUAGCAGGAUUUCAGCUACUUUAGAAACCAUUUAGUUGAUGAAAGGGAUACACUUUCAGACUGAACAAAGGAAGGAUAUUUGAUGGCGUCUUUUCAGGAUUAAAAAGACCAUUCAGCUGGAAGUAAACUUCAGUUAAUAAACCUCACCUCCGUUUUCCUCAUGCAAAGUAACAGCCUAGAAACAGCCCAGCUUAUGUCUGUCUGAUGAAAUACCAUGCCACAGAUAUGAGAUGAACUCUUCAUAUUAUAUCUCCUUAUUUCCAAGAAAUCUGCGUGUCUCUGGUAUUACUGAAGUCACCCACGAUACCAGAGCUGAAGUUAUUGUGCUGGGGAUUGCUUAGCACUGUUCUGUAAUUAGGAGGCAAGUCAAUUCAACAUUAAUUUCAAGUACAUGAAGGAGAAGCAGAUUCAUGAAUAGAUAAUAGAGAAUACAAGCAUUGAAUGUGUUAGUUUAAGAAAUGUUCUUAAAAUAUCGUUUUAUUGAAAGUAUGCAUUUGGAGAUCCUAAAGUCAAUGCAUUAUGUUCAUUACAUUUAUAUUAAAUUAUUAUGCCUCAGCCAAAUAAAGGCCCUUAUCCCUCCUACGGUAAUGUAUGUAAAGACAUGGGAGAGAAGGUUAGAAAGCAUUUAUUUGGCACUUAUUGAACACUACAAUUUUUGGGUUAUCACUAAGUGCAGACACAACUUGAGCAGUAAAAGCGAAAUCUUUUUUUUUUGAGAUUGUUCUUUUGAGACUUACCUAGAUCUCCUUUAGCAUUUUCUAAUGUUUUUCUGACAUAGCAUGAAAUGGGUACACAAAGAGUGUGUGGGUCUGCUUUAUGAGCUGUGCGUGAAAAGCUUUAAAGCACAGAAACCUACGCACUCAGUAUUUAAGGAAACAGGAAGCCAGAAAGGUUUGGGAGAAGAUGGCUAGGAGAAGAGAAGGUGGAAUACAAACUCUCUGACUUCAGCUGCUACUUUCUUCUGCUGCUUUCUGAAAAAGCUAAAAUGGCCAUUUGUUAUCAAAUUGACUUCUACCAUGUUGUAACUACUUUUGCCAGUCAAACUCCUGAUUUGAGUGGGAACGGGAAUUCUUAACACUAGUGUUUUGUAACAUACAGUGUAUGGAAGUCAGAAUCUAAAACCUAACAUUAGCAAGCACAAGUAUUUCAUUUCUACAAAAAGGCAGAAUGUUAUUGCCAAGCCUGAGUUAAUGUAAGAGUAAAGUCACAAUUGUUUUGCACCAAAGGCUAAGAUUUCUAUUUCUGAAACUGAUUUAGCAAAUUUAUGCAUGUGUACUUCGUAAUGCUUAUUAAACAGCAAUAUAUACUUACUGAAAUACAACCCCUCUCCCAAAAUUAGCAUUUCCGUAUUGUUCCAUACAAUGCAGUUGUUAGCAUUUCCUCACAAACUUUUAUUUGCAUAUACUAACAUUUUUUGGCUAUGUAAUCUUAAAACUCUUUUAAGAUCACUCCUUUUAUAUGAAAGAAAAGAAACAAUGCAUGUAUUUCAUAAAGCAAUCUAUUUUGUUUCCUAAUUCUGUCUUCAGUCUCACUUUGAACUGCCACAGCACAAGUAAUCAUCCCUUUGCAUAACUAUGGGGUCUGUACUAUAAUUUUAUAAUCAAGGAUGCUUUGUAAUGGUGCUUGCAUUUCUUCAGGAAGAAUAGCCUGUAUGCAUAUGAAAUUCUUAUAGAGCAGGUUUUUUUCCUUAACAGGCUCAUUCUUACAAUAAGAUAAGCUAUCAUACAUAUUUUUGCAUGUAGAGAAAAACUUAGGAAUGGUCAUACUUUGUGCAUUUUAAAAUCUCUUUGGUUAAAGUCAAAUAGCAAUAAUAUUAAAAAUAAGAAUGAUAUUCAUUAUGAUUCUGAUGAAGGCAUUAAAAUAUUGUUUCAUGUAAGCAGAGUUUCAGACUGGAAUAAAAUUUUACCUUGAAUAAU